GGUUAAGCGACUAAGCGUACACGGUGGAUGCCCUGGCAGUCAGAGGCGAUGAAGGACGUGCUAAUCUGCGAAAAGCGACGGCGAGGUGAUAUGAACCUUUGACCCGUCGAUGUCCGAAUGGGGAAACCCAGUGCAAUUCGUUGCACUAUCGUUAACUGAAUACAUAGGUUAACGAGGCGAACCGGGGGAACUGAAACAUCUAAGUACCCCGAGGAAAAGAAAUCAACCGAGAUUCCCCCAGUAGCGGCGAGCGAACGGGGAGCAGCCCGGAGUCUGAAUCAGCUUGUGUGUUAGUGGAACGGUCUGGAAAGUCCGACGGUACAGGGUGAUAGUCCCGUACACGAAAAUGCACUUGCUGUGAACUCGAAGAGUAGGGCGGGACACGUGGUAUCCUGUCUGAAUAUGGGGGGACCAUCCUCCAAGGCUAAAUACUCCUGACUGACCGAUAGUGAACCAGUACCGUGAGGGAAAGGCGAAAAGAACCCCGGCGAGGGGAGUGAAAAAGAACCUGAAACCGUGUACGUACAAGCAGUGGGAGCCUCUUUAUGGGGUGACUGCGUACCUUUUGUAUAAUGGGUCAGCGACUUAUAUUCUGUAGCAAGGUUAACCGUAUAGGGGAGCCGAAGGGAAACCGAGUCUUAACUGGGCGUUAAGUUGCAGGGUAUAGACCCGAAACCCGGUGAUCUAGCCAUGGGCAGGUUGAAGGUUGGGUAACACUAACUGGAGGACCGAACCGACUAAUGUUGAAAAAUUAGCGGAUGACCUGUGGCUGGGGGUGAAAGGCCAAUCAAACCGGGAGAUAGCUGGUUCUCCCCGAAAGCUAUUUAGGUAGCGCCUCGUGAACUCAUCUUCGGGGGUAGAGCACUGUUUCGGCUAGGGGGCCAUCCCGGCUUACCAACCCGAUGCAAACUACGAAUACCGAAGAAUGUUAUCACGGGAGACACACGGCGGGUGCUAACGUCCGUCGUGAAGAGGGAAACAACCCAGACCGCCAGCUAAGGUCCCAAAGUCAUGGUUAAGUGGGAAACGAUGUGGGAAGGCACAGACAGCCAGGAUGUUGGCUUAGAAGCAGCCAUCAUUUAAAGAAAGCGUAAUAGCUCACUGGUCGAGUCGGCCUGCGCGGAAGAUGUAACGGGGCUAAACCAUGCACCGAAGCUGCGGCAGCGAC
rnacentral:rRNA from 1 species